CCCCACAUGCUCCACACGCUGCUCACAUACCUCCCAUGUCCAACACACGCCCUUCCACGUGUCUCUCUCUGGUUGGCUAGUGAAUUUAAGUAUUAAACCCUAGGUUCCUAAUUUUUAUUGAAUGGUCUAUUUCACCCUCACUUAACCCAAGCGAAAUACCCAUUACACCCUUAAUGCCCUAAGAUAUUCUAGAUUUUCACUCUUUGAGCCUCAUAGCCGCACCUCUCUCUCUGCCAUGGAAGGAAAAUAUUUUGUUUCCUUCUCCAUUUUUAACAAAUUUUUGACCUUCACCCCAGAAAGGCAGGGAUUGUAUGGCAAUUUCGAGUACACUCCUGCCAAAAUCCCAAGGUUCGUCAGAUUUCAUUUUGACCGAGAUUCGAAUUGGAUUUCUAUUUAUAAUGAAGUUGAGAACGGUAAAAUGGAAUUCUUUUUUUCGUGUUCCUCAUUCUUCACCAUUUUUGGCAACCAAAUACCUACUCUACCUGUCCAUGUUGUUCGUCUUCUUUUCUGCUACAUGCCAUUUCAAAUGGCUCUUUUGAAUUCCAGAAGCUCUAAGAAUCCCGCCUAAAAGUCGAUCGUAAGAACCCUAGCUCGCAGCUAUAAAUAUCACCCUUUUGCAUUCAUUGCGGGAGAUGGUUGAACAGCCACGAUCUCACCUUAAAAAACAACAAGAAACAGCCAUAUAUCAUUCUAAACCACUAUAUUUUACCUUUCUGUUUUGAGAUUCUGGUUACCCUUAAAGUGUUCCGGCUCGUCAGUUUCUUUUGAGCGUGGAUCCGGGACCUAAAAGCUCUAGUUCGCUGCACCCGGAAAAGAAUAGGCUGUUGUAAUAUCUACUCACUUUGGUUUCACCAUUUUCUUGGAUUCCUAAGACAAUGGACAAGUUAAAGAGGAGUAGAGCAGUGACAGCCAUGUUAUAUGGAAAAAAGUGGGUGAUGCUCAUUUUGCGGUAAACUGAGUGAUGAAGAGCUACUUUUGAUUUGCUAUUUAUAGCAGUUCCUUUAGUGGGAAAUGCCUCCAUUUAAGCUACUAUGGUUUAAAUUGGACUUGUUUUACCAUUGGAUUUGAAUAUCUCACAGUAUUAAGGACGCUUCAUCAUUUACAACAUGUAGUAUUAAGUGAAUAAACUAUUUUCUAUUUGAGUAUUGAAAAGAAAAAACAAAAAAGAUUGGAUCAUAA